UACAGGGGGUGCAAACGUUGCUCGGAAUCAUUGGGCGUAAAGCGCACGUAGGCGGUUCGUUAUGUCGGAUGUGAAAGCCCUUGGCUUAACCAAGGAAGUGCAUCCGAAACUGGCGAGCUAGAGUACGAAAGAGGAUCGCGGAAUUCCCGGUGUAGAGGUGAAAUGCGUAGAUAUGCGGAGGAACACCGAUGGCGAAGGCAGCUCGCUGGGACGGUACUGACACUAAGGCGCGAAAGCGUGGGGAGCGAACAGG
rnacentral:rRNA from 1 species